AAAAAAGCAGGGCUCUGUUGCCUCCUGUGAAUAGGGCUCUCGUAAACUUCAGGGAAACAAAGUGCAUUGUUAUUGGGUGAACCUCUGUAGAUAUAGUUGCUUGACGGUUCAGUAAAUGAUGCUACAUUU